rnacentral:rRNA from 1 species
GAUGAACGCUGGCGGCGUGCCUAAUACAUGCAAGUCGAGCGGACAGACGAGGAGCUGGCUCCACUGACGUUAGCGGCGGACGGGUGAGUAACACGUGGAUAACCUACCUAUAAGACUGGGAUAAAUUCGGGAAACCGGAGCUAAUACCGGGAAAUAUAUUGGACCGCAGGGUGCAAUAGUGAAAGACGGGUUGGCGGUGGAUUCUAGAUGGAUCCGCGCCGCAUUAGCUAGUUGGUAAGGUAACGGCUUACCAAGGCAACGAUGGGUAGCCGACGUGAGAGGGUGAUCCCCCACACUGGAACUGAGACACGGUCCAGACUCCUACGGGAGGCAGCAGUAGGGAAGCUUCCGCAAUGGGCGGAAGCCUGACGGAGCAACGCCGCGUGAGUGAUGAAGGUCUUCGGAUCGUAAAACUCUGUUAUUGUGGAAGAACAAAUUUGUAAGUAACGAUGCACGUCUUGACGGUAGCUAGUCAGAAAGCCCCGGCUAACUACGUG